rnacentral:rRNA from 1 species
UACGAAGGGUGCAAGCGUUAAUCGGAAUUACUGAGCGUAAAGCGCGCGUAGGUGGUUCAGUAAGUUGGAAGUGAAAUCCCCGGGCUCAACCUGGGAACUGCUUUCAAAACUGCUGAGCUAGAGUACGGUAGAGGGUGGUGGAAUUUCCUGUGUAGCGGUGAAAUGCGUAGAUAUAGGAAGGAACACCGGUGGCGAAGGCGACCACCUGGACUGAUACUGACACUGAGGUGCGAAAGCGUGGGGAGCAAACAGG